CCUACGGGAGGCAGCAGUGAGGAAUAUUGGUCAAUGGGCGGGAGCCUGAACCAGCCAAGUCGCGUGAGGGAAGAAGGUCCUAUGGGUUGUACACCUCUUUAGACGGGGAGCAAUGCCGGGCGCGCGUGCCCGGAGGGAGAGUACCCGCAGAAUAAGCAUCGGCUAACUCCGGGCCAGCAGCCGCGUUAAUACGGAGGGUGCGAGCGUUAUCCGGAUUUAUUGGGAUUAAAGGGUGCGCAGGCGGCUUUUUAAGUCAGCGGUAAAAGGUCAGGGCUUAACCCGGGCCGGCCGUUGAAACUGGGGAUCUUGAGUGGGCGAGAAGUACGCGGAAUGCGUGGUGUAGCGGUGAAAUGCAUAGAUAUCACGCAGAACUCCGAUUGCGAAGGCAGCAUUCCGGCGCCCGACUGACGCUGAGGCACGAAAGCGUGGGGAUCGAACAGGAUUAGAUACCCUUGUAGUC
rnacentral:rRNA from 1 species